AUGCCGCCGGGGGCGGGCCGCCGGGCGGCGGUGGACGUGGAGGACCUGCUGGUGCGCGUCAAGAACGGCGCCGGGCCCGAGCUCGGCGCCGUGGCGCGGGAGGUGGCCGCGCUGGCCGGCGAGGGGAGGCUCGGGGAGGACGAGGAGGGCGGGGUCCUGGUGCCGGCGCUGCUCGCGCGGCUCGCCGGCGCGGGGGACGCCGAGGUCAGGGUCCUCGUCAUGGCCGCGCUGCGGCGCCUCGCGGGAUGCGCCGGCGGAGAGACCAAGGAGAGGAUGGCAAGCAUUGAGGCACUUUCAAGCAUCGUACGCUCCUUGUCUAGAGACGUCGAUGAGAGAAUGGAAGCAAUUGCGCUGCUAUUGGAUUUGUCAGACAUUCCACAGGUCCGGCAGAGGAUUGGCAGGAUCAAAGGAUGUAUAGUGAUGCUGGUCACGCUGAGGAAUGCACACGAAUCACGCACCUAUGAUGACGCAGAGAAGUUGCUGCACAUUUUGUCGUACAACCCACAAAAUGUGCUGCUCAUGGCAGAGGCUGGCUAUUUUCGACCAUUGAUACAUUACCUGAAAGAAGGUUCAGAUAUGAACAAGAUCCUAAUGGCAACCGCUAUUUCCAAGAUGUUCCUCUCUGAACAGAUGAAAUCUUCCCUUGGAGAAGACGGAGCGGUCGAGCCCCUUGUGGAGAUGUUUAAAUCUGGAAACCAUGAAGCCAAGCACUCAGCCCUAGCCGCCUUGCGUAAUCUCUCUAGCUCUCUGCAAAACGCAGAACUUUUGAUAAAUUGUGGCAUAACUGGAUCACUGCUUCAACUCCUUUGCUCGGUCACAUCAGUGCUCAUGACCCUUAGAGAGCCAGCCGCGGCUAUACUCUCAAAUAUAGCACAAUCUGAUCGUAUCCUACUCCAUAGGGAUGCAGCUCCUCAGAUGCUCUCACUUCUUAACUUAUCGUGUCCAGUAAUUCAGCUGCAUCUUUUAAGGGCCCUCAAUAGUAUUUGUGGGUACACAAACGCUAAGAGGGCUAGAGCUAAAAUUAGACAAAAUGGUGGAGUGCAGCUCCUCCUGCCAUUCCUUAGAGAAAAGAAUGUUGGUAUCAAAGUUGCUGCUUUGAAUUUAAUGUUCCAUCUAUCAAAAGAUGCUUCACAAGAAUUGGCCGAACAGAUCAGGGAGACCCAUCUUGAUAUCUUAGUGAAGAUUAUUGCUUCUCCUACACCUGGGAUUGCCGAGAAGGCUGCAGCUGUUGGUGUCCUAAGUAACCUCCCGGUGGCAGAUAAGAAUAUCACUAAGUUUCUCACACAAGCAAACUUGCUUCCAGUUCUGAUCUCCUUAUUGGAGGCAAACAUCUCAGCAUCUCCGUCGCCACAAAAACUAUGGUUACUUGAGGGCAUUGCUGGUGUGUUAGCCAGGUUCACCGUUCCUUGGGAUAAGAAACUACAAAGCUUAGCAGUUGGACAUGGGGUAGUUCCUUGGCUCGUCAAGCUGCUUUCAGAAGGAUCAGUAAAGGCAAAGUCUAAAUCAGCGACAUCUUUGGCUCAACUGUCACAGAAUUCAGUAGCAUUACGCAAGGCAAAAUCUCCAAGGUGGCUUUGUGUUCCCCCAUCAGCCGAGUCUUACUGUAUUGUUCACGAUUACCAGUGCACUGUGAAGAGCACUUUCUGCUUGGUAAAAGCUGGUGCUGUCAACCCACUGGUCCAAAUACUAGAAGGCGAAGAGCGUGAAGCAGAUGGAGCGGUGCUGGAAGCGCUGGCUACCCUCGUGCACGACGAGAUCUGGGAGAACGGGAGCAGGGCGAUAGAGAAGGCGUCAGGUGUCCAUGCUCUGCUGAGAGUCGCCGAGGCAGGCGAGCUGACCUCCCAGGACAAGGCAAUAUGGAUUCUGGAGAGGAUCUUCCGGCUCGAAGAGCACAGAGAGCAGUAUGGCGGGAUCGUGCAGGCUCUGCUCAUCGAUCUCGCUCAGAAAGGCGACCCUGUCCUGAAACCGAUGAUCGGCAGGAUCCUUGCUCACCUUCAGCUACUUCAAACGCAGUCCAGCUACUUUUAA
rnacentral:rRNA from 1 species